ACCAGGUAGCAUUCCUCACCGACGUCGAUCGGAGCGAUGCAAUCCGUAAGGAAUCCGCCACAACCGAUACGAACGUCGUUCGCACGUAGCGUCGAACGCUUUGUUCCGAGGGGCAAAUGGAGGCCGAGGCCUCGUGCCCACAACACGUUCCGCAUCCGAGAUUCCGAGCAUUGCGCCUCGGGUGGGCUACACGACACGAGUCCCAACCACAACGCAUGCUAUGAGUUCCAAUCCGCACCACGACACCGGAGGGCGACGCAGAGCGGAAUGGAAGGGGGCAGAUUUUGCCGACGUAAUGCCUUAAGGAUAGGUAUCGAGCACAGGAGGCCGCAAUCGAACAGGGCUCGGUGGCCCUUGUGCCGAUGAUUGAAGUGGCGCGGUUGGGAUGUCG
rnacentral:misc_RNA from 1 species